GCCACCAGCACCGCCACCCAUGGCGCCGCUCCAUGGGUCAUGAUUUCUACUUUUCUACUUUCCUUCUCCGGAGGUUUGGCCCUCGAUGAUCGACCGAUAAUUGGGAAAAAUCAAAGAAAAGGGGCGGAUCCCUAUUUUUUUGAUUUUUUCUAAAUUCUCAUCGGUCGAACCUCACCGUCGGUCAUCUCUUGCCCCACCGCCAUCGGCUAUCAUUGUCGGACCA
rnacentral:lncRNA from 1 species